GGGGUGAAAGGCCAAUCAAACCGGGAGAUAGCUGGUUCUCCCCGAAAGCUAUUUAGGUAGCGCCUCGUGAAUUCAUCUCCGGGGGUAGAGCACUGUUUCGGCAAGGGGGUCAUCCCGACUUACCAACCCGAUGCAAACUGCGAAUACCGGAGAAUGUUAUCACGGGAGACACACGGCGGGUGCUAACGUCCGUCGUGAAGAGGGAAACAACCCAGACCGCCAGCUAAGGUCCCAAAGUCAUGGUUAAGUGGGAAACGAUGUGGGAAGGCCCAGACAGCCAGGAUGUUGGCUUAGAAGCAGCCAUCAUUUAAAGAAAGCGUAAUAGCUCACUGGUCGAGUCGGCCUGCGCGGAAGAUGUAACGGGGCUAAACCAUGCACCGAAGCUGCGGCAGCGACACUAUGUGUUGUUGGGUAGGGGAGCGUUCUGUAAGCCUGUGAAGGUGGCCUGUGAGGGUUGCUGGAGGUAUCAGAAGUGCGAAUGCUGACAUAAGUAACGAUAAAGCGGGUGAAAAGCCCGCUCGCCGGAAGACCAAGGGUUCCUGUCCAACGUUAAUCGGGGCAGGGUGAGUCGACCCCUAAGGCGAGGCCGAAAGGCGUAGUCGAUGGGAAACAGGUUAAUAUUCCUGUACUUGGUGUUACUGCGAAGGGGGGACGGAGAAGGCUAUGUUGGCCGGGCGACGGUUGUCCCGGUUUAAGCGUGUAGGCUGGUUUUCCAGGCAAAUCCGGAAAACCAAGGCUGAGGCGUGAUGACGAGGCACUACGGUGCUGAAGCGACAAAUGCCCUGCUUCCAGGAAAAGCCUCUAAGCAUCAGGUAACAUCAAAUCGUACCCCAAACCGACACAGGUGGUCAGGUAGAGAAUACCAAGGCGCUUGAGAGAACUCGGGUGAAGGAACUAGGCAAAAUGGUGCCGUAACUUCGGGAGAAGGCACGCUGAUAUGUAGGUGAAGCGACUUGCUCGUGGAGCUGAAAUCAGUCGAAGAUACCAGCUGGCUGCAACUGUUUAUUAAAAACACAGCACUGUGCAAACACGAAAGUGGACGUAUACGGUGUGACGCCUGCCCGGUGCCGGAAGGUUAAUUGAUGGGGUUAGCGGUAACGCGAAGCUCUUGAUCGAAGCCCCGGUAAACGGCGGCCGUAACUAUAACGGUCCUAAGGUAGCGAAAUUCCUUGUCGGGU
rnacentral:rRNA from 1 species